rnacentral:rRNA from 1 species
GGGCGAAAGGAGGAAUCCGGUGGCGGCUGGGCAUGCGGCGCAUUAGCUUGACGGCGGGGUAACGGCCCACCGUGGCGACGAUGCGUAGGGGUUCUGAGAGGAAGGCCCCCCACACUGGAACUGAGACACGGUCCAGACUCCUACGGGAGGCAGCAGUGAGGAAUAUUGGUCAAUGGGCGGAAGCCUGAACCAGCCAAGUCGCGUGAGGGAAUAAGGCCCUACGGGCCGUAAACCUCUUUUGCCGGGGAGCAAGGGCCGGGACGAGUCCCGGUCCGGAGAGUACCCGGAGAAAAAGCAUCGGCUAACUCCGUGCCAGCAGCCGCGGUAAUACGGAGGAUGCGAGCGUUAUCCGGAUUUAUUGGGUUUAAAGGGUGCGUAGGCGGGCUUUUAAGUCAGCGGUAAAAAUUCGGGGCUCAACCCCGUCCGGCCGUUGAAACUGGGGGCCUUGAGUGGGCGAGAAGAAGGCGGAAUGCGUGGUGUAGCGGUGAAAUGCAUAGAUAUCACGCAGAACCCCGAUUGCGAAGGCAGCCUUCCGGCGCCCUACUGACGCUGAGGCACGAAAGUGCGGGGAUCGAACAGGAUUAGAUACCCUGGUAGUCCGCACAGUAAACGAU